rnacentral:miRNA from 14 species
GUGGAGGCUUCCAAAGGGAUCGCAUUGAUCUAAUUGAUCAUAUAUGUCAAACAUCGUCCGUACAGACAUGGCAGGUUAUAUAUGUAGUUGGAUCAUGCGAUCCCUUCGGACGUUUCCAU